rfam:Schistosoma margrebowiei strain Zambia genome assembly, scaffold: SMRZ_scaffold0005623
GCACUACUGAGGAGAGUCCCACAAUAGAACGAAACGGCCGUCCAGUGC